rnacentral:rRNA from 1 species
AACGCUAGCGAUAGGCUUAACACAUGCAAGUCAGGGGCAGCAUGGUCUUAGCUUGCUAAGACUGAUGGCGACCGGCGCACGGGUGCGUAACGCGUAUGCAACUUGCCUCACAGAGGGGGAUAACCCGUCGAAAGACGGACUAAUACCGCGUACACUCCAGCUUGGGCAUCCAAGCUAGAGGAAAUGAAAUUCGCUGUGAGAUAGGCAUGCGUCCCAUUAGCUAGUUGGUGAGGUAACGGCUCACCAAGGCGACGAUGGGUAGGGGAACUGAGAGGUUGAACCCCCACACUGGUACUGAGACACGGACCAGACUCCUACGGGAGGCAGCAGUGAGGAAUAUUGGUCAAUGGGCGAGAGCCUGAACCAGCCAAGUCGCGUGAAGGAUGACUGUCUUAUGGAUUGUAAACUUCUUUUAUACGGGAAUAACAAGAGUCACGAGUGACUCCCUGCAUGUACCGUAUGAAUAAGCAUCGGCUAACUCCGUG